CAAGUCGAGGGACCGGCGCACGGGUGAGUAACACGUAUCCAACCUUCCGUUUACUCAGGGAUAGCCUUUCGAAAGAAAGAUUAAUACCUGAUAGUAAACGAUGGGAUGCGUUCCAUUAGGUAGUAGGCGGGGUAACGGCCCACCUAGCCGACGAUGGAUAGGGGUUCUGAGAGGAAGGUCCCCCACAUUGGAACUGAGACACGGUCCAAACUCUACGGGAGGCAGCAGUGAGGAAUAUUGGUCAAUGGGCGAGAGCCUGAACCAGCCAAGUAGCGUGAAGGAUGAAGGUCUACGGAUUGUAAACUUCUUUUAUACGGGAAUAUGUACCGUAUGAAUAAGCAUCGGCUAACUCCGUGCCAGCAGCCGCGGUAAUACGGAGGGUGCGAGCGUUAUCCGGAUUUAUUGGGUUUAAAGGGAGCGCAGACGGGAGAUUAAGUCAGUUGUGAAAGUUUGCGGCUCAACCGUAAAAUUGCAGUUGAUACUGGUUUCCUUGAGUGCAGUUGAGGCAGGCGGA
rnacentral:rRNA from 1 species